rnacentral:tRNA from 1 species
GGAUCGGUAGCUCAGCUGGUAGAGCGCUGGAUUGAAGAUCCAGGCGUCGGGAGUUCGAACCUCUCCUGGUCCACCA